rnacentral:lncRNA from 1 species
CCUCUACCAAAUGUGCUAUGUGGUGUACAAUCUGGCAACAUUGGCAUUUUGACUGGGUGUCGGUUUGAUGGUAGCAAAAGGCAGAGAAGCCCUUGGGAUCAGGCUGGACUGUCCCCGCCUUGGAAUCAUGCAAGAGUCUGCUCAUUCUCUGUCCCUUUCAUUACCGUGCGUUGGGUGCUUUGAGGGAAACACCUGAGCCGGGCAGGAGCUCCUGCUGUUACUUCUCAGGCUUCUCAUUUAAAGACAUCCCUAUAGAUGUGACUCAGAGGAACUGUGUGGAUCAGUGUUCUCUUUGUUAAGAGGGGAAACAGAGGUGACAUCUGAGGACACGCCUUGAGGCUGCUUGGCCACUAGAAUCUCUUGGGAAGGCCCAGCCACUCCUUUUGUUUUUGGCUUUGUAGGGCUGCACUCGCGGCAUAUGGAGGUUCCCAGACUAGGGGUCAAUUGAAGCUACAGCUGCCACCCUACACCACAGCCACAGCAACUCGGGAUCCAAGCCGCAUGUGCAGCCUACACCACGGCUCACGGCAACGCCCAGACACUCUUGAAGACGGUCCCUUAUGAGAGAUGGGAAAGAGUCUGUUACAUGGCCUCAAAUUUUCACGAGCUGUCCCUUCAACCUGGGUGCCUUCCUGAAAACAGUGUUUUCAGAGAGAGACUGGCACACUUGCAGAGAAUACACUUAAAACUGGAUUUGCAGCUCUAGGAUUUUGAUUCGAAAACCAAGAAUGUUCAUGGACACCCAUAUUAUUUCAUUGGAUGCAUCUAUGGGAGUGUGUUGAGUUCCAAGUGAAGCCCAGCCUUUGUGGGCCACGGGUGGUGUACCAUUUGUCAACCAUAUUUUUCUGUCUCUAAAGAAAUCUGCCUUCUGCUUUUGGAAAGAGACACGGUCUCUGUCUUUCAAGGCUGUUUGCUACACAAACAUCCUUGGAAACACAGUCCAGAGCAAAAGAUGUCAGUGCAUCUUCAGAAGCAUGAGAUAGCCAUACCUCAGUGUUCAAAGCGGCAGUAUUGAUGAUAGGCAAGAUGUGGAAGCAGCUCAAGUGACCAUUGCAGAGGAAUGGUUAAAGAAGAUACGGUACAUAUAAACAAUGGAAUACUACUCAGCCACAAAAAGGACAAAACAAUGCCAUUUGCAGCAACCUGAAUGGACCUAAAGAUUAUCAUGUGAGUGAAGUCAGUCAGAAGGAGAAAGAUAGAUACCAUGUGAUAUCAGUUGUGUGUGAAAUCUAAAAAAUGAUACAAUGAUCUUAUUUACAAAACAGAAACAGACUCACAGACAUAGAAAACAAAGUUAAGGUUACUGAAGGAGAGUGGGAGGAGGGAUAAAUUGGGAGUUUGGGAUUAACAGAUGUGCAUUACUGUAUUGAAAAUAAACAAGGAUUUACUGAAUAGCAUAGGGACUGAUAGUCAGUAUCUUGUAAUAAGUUAUAAUGGAAAAGAACCAAAAUUUCCAUGAGGAUGUGGGUUUGAGCCUUGGCCUGGCUCAGUGGGUUAAGGAUCCGUGUUGCCAUGGUUGUGGCGUUGACGGGCAGCUGGAGCUCCAAUUUGACCCCUAGCCUGGGAACCUCCAUGUGCCUCGGGUACAGCCCUACAAAGCAAACAAACAAACAUACAAACAAAAAAAACAAGGUCGUGUUCAUUUCUGCUGCAUAGCAAAACGCGAUUCAGUUAAAGCUGUACACAUAGCCAUUCCUUUUCAGAUUCUUAUCCCAUAUAAGUUGUCGCAGAAUAUUUAGUUCCCAUUGACCAUUAGUUCCAUGUUCAACAGAGUGUAUAUGCCAGUUCCAAACCCCCAGUCCCUCCUCCUCCCAGCCUUUCCCCUCGGGUAACCGUACGUUUGAUUUUGAGGUCCGUGAGUCUGUUCCCGUUUCUUAAAUAAGUUCAUUUGUACCAUUUUUUAAAAAGGAUUCCAUGUAGAGGUGAUAUCGUAGGAUGUUUGUCUUUCUCUAGCUCACUUCACUUAGUAUAUAAUCUCUAGGUCCAUCCAUACGGUUCAUUUUUAAUUGUAAAAAAUACUAGUUUGCUUUGCCAAGAACCACUUAAAAUAUGCAAAGAUUCUUUGAUAGUCCUGGUCCCCCCCGGUCCCUCCCCAUCCUCGGCAGACACGUCUGUCCAGGUGACAGCUUCAUGGAAGUCACGUUGAUGGGCUGGUGACGUGACCACGCACAGAAACGCCCUCCCUGGGGGCGCAGUCUCGUUUUCUCGCGUUCUUGCAUUUGCUUCUGGGCCAUGCACUUCGGGGGAUGAGCAAAUGCAUAUUGAAUGGUAGAACACGCAGAUGCUAUUUCCUAGACUUGGUCCUCCCUGCACAGGACAGGCUCAGUCUUCCUGCUUUGGGAAAUCGUGACGGCAGGGGUCGCAGAGGUGCCUGCAGGAGUCAGCUUCUCUCACCCGAACGUUUCCAGCUUUCGCUCUUUGACUUGCCCUCUUGUGAAGUGGCUUCACCAGUGGCUCUUGAAUCUGCUCUUGUGUGAAGCUGUUAUUCAGAGGCCCUUGUCCUUGAGGGUGUCCGCCUGCCAGCAAAGGCGGUGUGCUCACUGCCUCUGGGUCACUAAUCACCUCACUGGGACCCCGCUGAAUCCAGGUGGGACCAAAGAUGUUUGCAGCCCCAUGGCUUAGAUGGAACACAGAUUUUUGCUUUGCCUGAAACAAUGGCCGUUUCAAAGGAAAUAGAAAAGAAUUUCAUCACUUUGAAGUGUUUUGCAGCUACUCUGGUUUUGAAGGAAACUCAUGCACAGAAAUACAGAUAUUAUUCUUUUCCUGAAAUUCCUAGUCGUAUCUUUGGCAUGACUAUUUUAAUGUAUCCAAUCAGUUCACAAGAAUUUUUAAAGUAAAAAAAAAAUGCCCAGAGGGAGUUCCCAUUGUGGCUCUGUAGGUUAAGAACCUGACAUAAUGUCCACGAGGAUGUGGGUUCAAUCCCUGGCCACACUUUGAGUUAAGGACUGGCUUUGCAGAAAGCUGUGGUGUAGGUCACAGAUGUGGCUCGGAUCCUGCAUGGCUGUGGCUGUGGUGUAGGCCGGCAGCUGCAGCUCCGAUU